UCAACUUUGGCUUCUUGACAUA
rnacentral:misc_RNA from 1 species